UACGGGAGGCAGCAGUGGGGAAUUUUGGACAAUGGGGGGAACCCUGAUCCAGCCAUGCCGCGUGUCUGAAGAAGGCCUUCGGGUUGUAAAGGACUUUUGUUAGGGAAGAAAAGCCGGGUGCUAAUACCACCUGGUGCUGACGGUACCUAAAGAAUAAGCACCGGCUAACUACGUGCCAGCAGCCGCGGUAAUACGUAGGGUGCGAGCGUUAAUCGGAAUUACUGGGCGUAAAGCGAGCGCAGACGGUUAAUUAAGUCAGAUGUGAAAUCCCCGAGCUCAACUUGGGACGUGCAUUUGAAACUGGUUAACUAGAGUGUGUCAGAGGGAGGUAGAAUUCCACGUGUAGCAGUGAAAUGCGUAGAGAUGUGGAGGAAUACCGAUGGCGAAGGCAGCCUCCUGGGAUAACACUGACGUUCAUGCUCGAAAGCGUGGGUAGCAAACAGGAUUAGAUACCCUGGUAGUCCACGCCCUAAACGAUGACAAUUAGCUGUUGGGACACUAGAUGUCUUAGUAGCGAAGCUAACGCGUGAAAUUGUCCGCCUGGGGAGUACGGUCGCAAGAUUAAAACUCAAAGGAAUUGACGGGGACCCGCACAAGCGGUGGAUGAUGUGGAUUAAUUCGAUGCAACGCGAAGAACCUUACCUGGUCUUGACAUGUACGGAAUCUCUUAGAGAUAGGAGAGUGCCUUCGGGAACCGUAACACAGGUGCUGCAUGGCUGUCGUCAGCUCGUGUCGUGAGAUGUUGGGUUAAGUCCCGCAACGAGCGCAACCCUUGUCAUUAGUUGCCAUCAUUAAGUUGGGCACUCUAAUGAGACUGCCGGUGACAAACCGGAGGAAGGUGGGGAUGACGUCAAGUCCUCAUGGCCCUUAUGACCAGGGCUUCACACGUCAUACAAUGGUCGGUACAGAGGGUAGCGAAGCCGCGAGGUGAAGCCAAUCUCAGAAAGCCGAUCGUAGUCCGGAUUGCACUCUGCAACUCGAGUGCAUGAAGUCGGAAUCGCUAGUAAUCGCAGGUCAGCAUACUGCGGUGAAUACGUUCCCGGGUCUUGUACACCACCGCCCGUCACACCAUGGGAGUGGGGGAUACCAGAAC
rnacentral:rRNA from 1 species